rnacentral:rRNA from 1 species
UACGGAGGGGGCUAGCGUUAUUCGGAACUACUGGGCAUAAAGCGCACGUAGGCGGAUUAGAAAGUCAGAGGUGAAAUCCCAGAGCUCAACCUUGGAACUGCCUUUGAAACUCCUAGUCUUGAGGUCGAGAGAGGUGAGUGGAAUUCCGAGUGUAGAGGCGAAAUUCGUAGAUAUUCGGAGGAACACCAGUGGCGAAGGCGGCUCACUGGCUCGAUACUGACGCUGAGGUGCGAAAGCGUGGGGAGCAAACAGG